rnacentral:tRNA from 1 species
GGUGGGGUGGCCGAGUGGCCGAAGGCGCUCCCCUGCUAAGGGAGUAACGGGUUUAUAGCCCGUUCGAGAGUUCGAAUCUCUCCUCCACCGCCA